UGCGAGACCUACAAGUCGAGCAGGGUCGAAAGACGGACUUAGUGAUCCGGUGGUUCCGCAUGGAAGGGCCAUCGCUCAACGGAUAAAAGCUACCCCGGGGAUAACAGGCUUAUCUCCCCCAAGAGUUCACAUCGACGGGGAGGUUUGGCACCUCGAUGUCGGCUCAUCGCAUCCUGGGGCUGUAGUCGGUCCCAAGGGUUGGGCUGUUCGCCCAUUAAAGCGGUACGCGAGCUGGGUUCAGAACGUCGUGAGACAGUUCGGUCCCUAUCCGUCGUGGGCGUAGGAAAUUUGAGAGGAGCUGUCCUUAGUACGAGAGGACCGGGAUGGACAUACCUCUGGUGUACCAGUUGUCGUGCCAACGGCAUAGCUGGGUAGCUAUGUGUGGACGGGAUAAGUGCUGAAAGCAUCUAAGCAUGAAGCCCCCCUCAAGAUGAGAUUUCCCAACUUCGGUUAUAAGAUCCCUCAAAGAUGAUGAGGUUAAUAGGUUCGAGGUGGAAGCAUGGUGACAUGUGGAGCUGACGAAUACUAAUCGAUCGAAGACUUAAUCAA
rnacentral:rRNA from 1 species